rnacentral:rRNA from 1 species
UACGGGAGGCAGCAGUGGGGAAUAUUGCACAAUGGGCGCAAGCCUGAUGCAGCCAUGCCGCGUGUAUGAAGAAGGCCUUCGGGUUGUAAAGUACUUUCAGUCGUGAGGAAGGUGUUAAGGUUAAUAACCUUAGCAAUUGACGUUAGCGACAGAAGAAGCACCGGCUAACUCCGUGCCAGCAGCCGCGGUAAUACGGAGGGUGCGAGCGUUAAUCGGAAUUACUGGGCGUAAAGGGCACGCAGGCGGUUAAUUAAGUUGGAUGUGAAAUCCCCGGGCUUAACCUGGGAAUGGCAUUCAAGACUGGUUAGCUAGAGUCUUGUAGAGGGGGUAGAAUUCCAUGUGUAGCGGUGAAAUGCGUAGAGAUGUGGAGGAAUACCGGUGGGCGAAGGCGGCCCCUGGGACAAAGACUGACGCUCAUGUGCGAAAGCGUGGGGAGCGAAACAGGGAUUAGAUACC